rnacentral:rRNA from 1 species
UACGUAGGGUGCGAGCGUUAAUCGGAAUUACUGGGCGUAAAGCGUGCGCAGGCGGUUUGUUAAGACAGAUGUGAAAUCCCCGGGCUUAACCUGGGAACUGUGCUUCUAACUGGCAGGCUGGAGUGUGGCAGAGGGGGGUGGAAUUCCACGUGUAGCAGUGAAAUGCGUAGAGAUGUGGAGGAACACCGAUGGCGAAGGCAGCCCCCUGGGCUAACACUGACGCUCAUGCACGAAAGCGUGGGGAGCAAACAGG